rnacentral:rRNA from 1 species
CAGUAGCCGCGGUAAUACGAAGGGGGCUAGCGUUGUUCGGAAUUACUGGGCGUAAAGCGCACGUAGGCGGAUCGAUCAGUCAGGGGUGAAAUCCUGGAGCUCAACUCCAGAACUGCCUUUGAUACUGUCGAUCUCGAGUCCGGAAGAGGUGAGUGGAACUCCUAGUGUAGAGGUGGAAUUCGUAGAUAUUAGGAAGAACACCAGUGGCGAAGGCGGCUCACUGGUCCGGUACUGACGCUGAGGUGCGAAAGCGUGGGGAGCAAACAGGAUUAGAUACCCCAGUAGUCCCUGUCUCUUAUAC